CGGACCCGUUCCGAACCCGGAAGCUAAGACCCCUCGCGCCGAUGGUACUGCGGGGUGAGCCCGUGGGAGAGCAGGGCGCCGCUGACC
rnacentral:rRNA from 1 species